GCAGGUCCAAGUGUGUGAAGGAGAGGUACCGCAGGUCCAAGUGUGUGAAGGAGAGGUACCGCAGGUUCUUGCUGCUGCUGUCAGACUGUAGAACCAGUUCUGCUCCCAGUAGUCCUGGCAUGUGCAUCAUGUCAUAAAAGAACCCAUUUCUCUGUUUUAGCAUGAACUGGACAAUUUCACAUACCUAGUCCUUGAGUUCGGGUUGGGUCAGACGUGAAAUUUUAUUGUGAGUGUCAGGGCCAAAUUUGUUCCUCCAGGAGGUGUUUAGGAACCCGUUUUGGACCUUUUGGAGUCCACCGGUACCCAUCAUACCAAGAGCGCAAGUUGGCAUUGGGACAAGUCACAACCAAAGUUUGGGAAAGACAGAGUUGUCCCUACCAAUAUUUUGAUAUAGUUUCAUCUAACUUUUUUUUUUUUUUACAUAAUGCAUUGAAUAUAACUCAUUUGUAGUAUUAAGCAUGUAGAGAACUAUUUUUCCGAUGUGCCCACUCAUCGCAGUCUUCAGCGUCACCUGCAGAGCAACACGUUUGAUAUGCUGCCAUCUGAUUGGCUGAAGGGUCGUCACACGCUCAGCACAUGAAGGAAACUCAGAAAUCCAGUACAGAAGUAGUGCAGGUUGAGGAAGCAGCAGCUGGACCGCCAGGCUGCAGAUGCAGGUGCUGACGGGUUUAAGUUGUCUUUGCUCUUGAGGACAGUCAGCAGUGUCCUGGACCAGCCUGAUCCAACAGCCACUGAGGCGCAGCAUCUUCC